AAAUUGAAGAGUUUGAUCAUGGCUCAGAUUGAACGCUGGCGGCAGGCCUAACACAUGCAAGUCGAACGGUAACAGGAAGCAGCUUGCUGCUUUGCUGACGAGUGGCGGACGGGUGAGUAAUGUCUGGGAAACUGCCUGGUGGAGGGGGAUAACUACUGGAAACGGUGGCUAAUACCGCAUAACGUCGCAAGACCAAAGAGGGGGACCUUCGGGCCUCUUGCCAUCAGAUGUGCCCAGAUGGGAUUAGCU
rnacentral:rRNA from 3 species